rnacentral:rRNA from 1 species
CUACGGGGGGCUGCAGUGGGGAAUAUUGCGCAAUGGGGGGAACCCUGACGCAGCAAUACCGCGUGAGUGAAGAAGGUUUUCGGAUCGUAAAGCUCUGUUAUUAGGGAAGAAAAAAAGACGGUACCCAAGAAGAAAGUUCCGGCUAACUACGUGCCAGCAGCCGCGGUAAUACGUAGGGAACAAGCGUUGUCCGGAUUUACUGGGCGUAAAGGGCACGCAGGCGGUUUUUUAAGUCAGAUGUGAAAGGUACCAGCUCAACUGGCGACAUGCAUUUGAAACUGAAAGACUUGAGUAUUGGAGAGGCAAGUGGAAUUCCUAGUGUAGCGGUGAAAUGCGUAGAUAUUAGGAGGAACACCGGUGGCGAAGGCGGCUUGCUGGACAAAUACUGACGCUGAGGUGCGAAAGCGUGGGGAGCAAACAGGAUUAGAUACCCCCGAGUC